GAUGAACGCUGGCGGCGUGCCUAAUACAUGCAAGUCGAGCGAACAGACGAGGAGCUUGCUCCUCUGACGUUAGCGGCGGACGGGUGAGUAACACGUGGAUAACCUACCUAUAAGACUGGGAUAACUUCGGGAAACCGGAGCUAAUACCGGAUAAUAUAUUGAACCGCAUGGUUCAAUAGUGAAAGACGGUUUUGCUGUCACUUAUAGAUGGAUCCGCGCCGCAUUAGCUAGUUGGUAAGGUAACGGCUUACCAAGGCAACGAUGCGUAGCCGACCUGAGAGGGUGGUCGGCCACACUGGAACUGAGGCACGGUCCAGACUCCUACGGGAGGCAGCAGUAGGGAAUCUUCCGCAAUGGGCGAAAGCCUGACGGAGCAACGCCGCGUGAGUGAUGAAGGUCUUCGGAUCGGAAAACUCUGUUAUUAGGGAAGAACAAAUUUUUAAGUAACUAUGCACGUCUUGACGGUACCUAAUCAGAAAGCCACGGCUAACUACGUG
rnacentral:rRNA from 1 species